UACAGAGGGUGCGAGCGUUAAUCGGAUUUACUGGGCGUAAAGCGUGCGUAGGCGGUUUGUUAAGUCCGCUGUGAAAGCCCUGGGCUCAACCUGGGAAUUGCAGUGGAUACUGGCAAGCUAGAGUGCGGUAGAGGAUGGUGGAAUUCCCGGUGUAGCGGUGAAAUGCGUAGAGAAUCGGGAGGAACACCCGUGGCGAAGGCGGCCAUCUGGACCAGCACUGACGCUGAGGCACGAAAGCGUGGGGAGCAAACAGG
rnacentral:rRNA from 1 species